rnacentral:rRNA from 1 species
GGGAGGUAGUGGACAAUAAAUAACAAUACGGGUCCUUUCGGGUCUCGUAAUUGGAAUGAGUACAAUUUAAAUCUCUUAACGAGGAACAAUUGGAGGGCAAGUCUGGUGCCAGCAGCCGCGGUAAUUCCAGCUCCAAUAGCGUAUAUUAAAGUUGUUGCAGUUAAAAAGCUCGUAGUUGAAUUUCGGGAUCAGUACGCUGGUCGUGCCUUCGGUAUGCACUGGUUUCACUGAUUCCUCCCUUCUGAAGAACCGUAAUGCCAUUCAGUUGGUGUGGCGGGGAAUCAGGAUUGUUACUUUGAAAAAAUUAGAGUGUUUAAAGCAGGCUCGCGCUUGAAUACAUUAGCAUGGAAUAAUGAAAUAGGACGUUUGAUCCUAUUUUGUUGGUUUCUAGGAUUGACGUAAUGAUUAAUAGGGAUAGUUGGG